CUAUAGGGACCCCUGCCCCUAUAGGGACCCCUGCCCUAUAGGUCCCCCCCUGCUCUAUAGGGUCCCUAUAGCACAGCUCAGCUGCCCCAUAGGGAACCCCUGCCCUAUAGGUCCCCCCCUGCUCUAUAGGGUCCCUAUAGUACAGCUCAGCUGCCCCCUAUAGCCCUCCCCUGCCCUAUAGCAACCCCCUGCCCUAUAGGGACCCCUGCCCUAUAGGUCCCCCCCUGCUCUAUAGGGUCCCUAUAGCACAGCUCAGCUGGAGCCAGCCCCAUAGGGACCCCCUGCUCCAUAGGGACCCCUGCUUUAUAGGGUCCCCCCUGCUCUAUAGGGUCCCUAUAUCACAGCUCAGCUGCCCCAUAGGGAACCCCUGCCCUAUAGGUCCCCCCCUGCUCUAUAGGGUCCCUAUAGCACAGCUCAGCUGGAGCCAGCCCCAUAGGGACCCCCUGCUCCAUAGGGACCCCCUGCUUUAUAGGGUCCCUAUAGCACAGUUCAGCUGCCCCAUAG